rnacentral:tRNA from 1 species
GGGAUUGUGGCUCAGCGGUAGAGCACUCGCCUAGCACGUGUGGAGCCCUGGGUUUGAUCCUCAGCACCA